CUGGGUGCUGGGUGCUGGAUGCCGGGUGCUGCGUGCCAGGUGCCAGCGAACCAAGGACACAGCGAUGCCUGCUGUCGGAGUGGGGACAUGGUUGCUGGCUGGCCCCUGCAAAGAGGAAAGGAAGCUCUCGCCGAAAUACGCGUGGAUGAGAAGCUGCCCUGCGAGGAGGACAUAAAAAGCUCCCGAGGGCGCCCGGAUGUGGUGCGCCCCGCCUGGCCUCCCGUCCUCAUCCGCGCGGGGCGGUCUCCACGUGGGAUCUGGAACGUCCCCUCUCUUUCUCUUGUUACUCGUUUUCUUCUUCCCUCAAAAGCGGAAAUGGGAUGCCCUCCCUCGCUGGAAGCCUUCACGGCAUUUUACAGGUUCGGUAUGGAUGGCUUUUGAUGAAAAACAGGAGAAACAGGGCCUCGUGCGUGCGGGCCUGCGGUGAAUCUCCGCGCGUAAAGUUCGGCGGCAAAGCUGCAGCCGGUGAAAUAGGGCGCGUUCAUCAGCCGGCCUGUGGGGGGCAGCCCGGACCCCGCUCUGGGAAGCUGAGACCCCCCCACCCCCCACCCUACCUCCCGCUUCCCGCAUAGGUGCAAGGGAUGGGGAGCCCUCCCCCGCAGGUGCACAGGCAUCUGCAGCGGGGGCGGGGCAGGGGCGAGGCUUGAGUGGUGGUGGGGGGGAGAUCCGUCCCUAACCCGCACCCAUCCUUGAUUUAGGGGCAGAAGCAGCAUUCGGGGCUGUUCCGCUCCCUAACAUAGACACGCGCCCUAUAAGUGGCUCCUGAAAUUUGAAUUCUUAAAACAUGCAUUAAAUCGGAAAUGACUAGGAUGCAGCUCCCC
rnacentral:lncRNA from 12 species